CUUUUAUACUGCGCAUGCGCGAGCUAAACAAGUGUAAUGCAGUGUUGACAAUAGAAAAUUAUAUUGGGAAGUUGUCAUUUCUACAGUAAAAACAGCUUUUUUUUCAAGUAGUACGAAUUGUGACUUCGAUUUAUCUGUGGAACUAUUUGAACAGAAGGUAAAGCAGUAAUUUUGUUGUAUUUAGAAAGCAAACAGGGUCAUAUUUUUAAAAAUAUAGCGCACUGAAUAUAAAUUUGAGCAUCAUUAAAAUGUGUUCGCUAUGAUGCCAUUUUGUCUCCGGUAUAUACUGAGUUCUGCUUUUAUACUUGUGGAUAUUCGAAUUUAUUUGGCUCAAAAACACCAUUACUUCAAUAUCCCUUUUUUGUUUUUCCUUGGAUAGGUUUUAACAAGAUAGAACUCUAGAUCACUUGGGUCCAAAGACGCUAGAUUAUAAAAUCCUGAUGUGACUUGAUACUACGAAUAGAAUAUGUCUUAUGAUUUAAUACUACAAAUAGAAUGUCUUUUAAGUACAAACUUCAAUGAAUUGAUAAAGUGUAAGGAUAGUGUUUAAAGUCGCUUCAUGUGUAGAAGCUGAAUUACUUUAGUUUAUACACUGUAUAUUGUCGAGAUCACAUGUUGAUGACUUAAUACUAGCAACUUGCAAUAAGUGGUCUGUUCUGCUUGUUUAUAAUACUUUAGAGUUUGGACAUCAGAACAUUGUAAUUGCCUGACAGAGACUGUUAGGGCCUGUUUGUAUGGAAGCUGGGUUGGCCCGCUUAGCAAGACAGCCCGGUAAGGUAGGUAAGCAGGAUGAUUUCUCUUGUGUUUAUUUGAGAAAAUUUCAUUCUGCUUACCAGGACAAUUUUGUUGUUUUGACAUUAUUUUGACAGUUGUUAAAAAUAGCUUGCGGCAGUAUCUUUGAACUUUCAUCCUGGCAACCGGGCUAGCCAGCUUAUGAUUGUUUAUGUGGAGAAAUUUCCAUCCUGGUCUUGGCAACCGGGCCUGCCCGCUUGUCCAUAGAAAUGAUAAUUUGUACUAUAAAAAUAACUAGACAGCGAGAUCUCACUUACCGGGCUGUCUCACUUAGCGGGUUAGCCAGUUUCAAUAUAAACAGGCCCUUACACAACUGCUAAAAGCUGCAAGUUUCUUUAAAGCAAUAUCAUCUAUCAGUAGUCUCAGUUAUUCCUUCUCAAGAAAAAUAAAAAACAAAGCUGUGUGGGUGUGUUUUUGCUCUAGCUAGUUUUUACAUUUACAUGG
rnacentral:lncRNA from 1 species